AUAACCUUUAAGUUAGUCCAGAGAGGCUAAUAAGGUACACAAUGAUAUGGCUUUAACUAGGCCUGUCCUGUAUUGACCUUAAGACUCUUACUCUGGUAAGAGUCUUUUUUAUU
rfam:Pelosinus fermentans B4 ctg36, whole genome shotgun sequence.